rnacentral:tRNA from 1 species
CUCGUCAUGGCGCAGUGGUAGCGCGGCGGACUGUAAAGUUUACAUUCAUCCGUCGGUCCCCAGUUCAAAUCUGGGUGACGAGA